ACGAAACGGUGCGUUUGUUUUUGUUCUCUUCUCCUCCCCCUAUUUUUGUUUUCUCCUCCGGACCUCCUCGCCAUCUGCAACAAUCCCUAACCCUAGCCCCUCCCUAACCCGUCGCAGUCCCUCCCAAACAUGUAAAUUUUUCACGAUCUGACUUUCUCUCGACAAAGACUGUAGCCUUGUAUCUGGUAUUCCACUUCCUAUUUUUCUAGUAUUUGGUAUUUCACUUCUUAUUUUUCUUUGGAUAUUCUAUUGUUUUGGUUUGGGUUACUUUCUUGCUUUCAAUUCUGCAAGUUUUGAGAAACCGAGAGUAAUGAGUGGUAGUUUGUGACGACGUUGGAGGGUGAAGAACCUGGUACUGUUGUUUUUUGUAAACUAGAUCAACAUGUGAAAUAUUUCAGCAUAUUGUUUUACAGCGGUAAAACAAUUGUGCAUUAUCCAUCAAUGUGUGAAUUUGACAAGAUUUAACUCAGAGAACUGAGUUUUGUGCCACCUGAUGGAGAAAAUUCAGCUUUGACCUACGACGAUGUCUUUUCCACCCUUCUAAAAUUUGUUCAUCUGUAAAUAUUGAGUUUCGUAGAAAACAAUGCAUUAACCCACCAGCCUCUGUUUCAAAAGCAUAUCCAACUUGCACCCAUUUUGAUUUAAAAAGCUGCACAUCUACUCCUUUAUUUUCUUGGGGAAUGGAUUCAAACAUCAAUGACAGCUUGGAAAAGCAACUUGUAAAACAUUCUAUUCAUUUAGCACUCUUGUCUUGUCAAUAUUUUAUCAUUUAUCAAUCCAGAGUUUCUUGGAUUUGCCUCUGUUUCCUCGUCUUCUAUGGACAAUAUUUGUUUUCCUUGAGCUGAGAACCUGGUACUGGUGUUUUCUGUAAACUAGAUGGACCGGGACCUGUUAUGGUGCUUGCCAAGUUCGGGAAGAAGUUUUGCAGAAUCUUUGAGCCGGAUAUUUGUUUUAGGAAAUAAUGCUGUUGAAAACGAUGCCAUUUGUUCUUUGAAUCCUGAAGUUUGACAUUAUGAAUGAUGUGUCGAGACCUUGCGAAGGAUUUUUAGGGCACAUAGAAAAUUGGCAAGAGCCAGAUAAUUAAAUGUUCGUACUGUGGGCAAGGAGAAGCAAAAUGUAAAUUUUUCAUUUAGGUGGAUAUACUUCACUUGCUAGAGGAGAACACUCGUACAAGAGAGAAUAAAGUUUGGAAGAUGUGGGAUGAUGUACUCACGCUCGAGUUGGAAGUUCGAAAAAUGGAAAAUAAAGUACGAGAAAGAGAGAGAGAGAGAACUCUUCAGAAGGAAAAUCGAAAAUUAUUAUGUUUGUACUAGGUUGUCAUAUUUGUAAUAGUUUUGGUUUGAUUCGAAUAAAUUAUUUGUAAAUAUAACGUUGUAUGGAGUAGAUAUCUUUUAAUGUAUCAGCUGUAAUGAUACUUCUCAA